GAUGAACGCUGACAGAAUGCUUAACACAUGCAAGUCAACUUGAAUUUGGGUUUUUAACUUCGGUUUGGGUGGCGGACGGGUGAGUAACGCGUAAAGAACUUGCCUCACAGCUAGGGACAACAUUUGGAAACGAAUGCUAAUACCUAAUAUUAUGAUAAUAGGGCAUCCUAUAAUUAUGAAAGCUAUAAGCGCUGUGAGAGAGCUUUGCGUCCCAUUAGCUAGUUGGAGAGGUAACGGCUCACCAAGGCGAUGAUGGGUAGCCGGCCUGAGAGGGUGAUCGGCAACAAGGGGACUGAGACACGGCCCUUACUCCUACGGGAGGCAGCAGUGGGGAAUAUUGGACAAUGGACCAAGAGUCUGAUCCAGCAAUUCUGUGUGCACGAUGAAGUUUUUCGGAAUGUAAAGUGCUUUCAGUUGGGAAGAAAGAAAUGACGGUACCAACAGAAGAAGUGACGGCUAAAUACGUG
rnacentral:rRNA from 1 species